rnacentral:tRNA from 1 species
GGCUUCGUGGCUCAGCUGAUAGAGCGCUUGCCGCGUUGAGGCAUGCCGUGUCUAUCGCUGGCUCGAAUCCAUCCGAAGCCC